UCCGGCGUCGUCUAAUGGCAGGACAGCGGUUUUUGGUACCGCUUAUCGGAGUUCGAAUCUCUGCGCCGGAACCA
rnacentral:tRNA from 1 species